rnacentral:misc_RNA from 1 species
GAUGAAGAACGUAGCGAAAUGCGAUACUUGGUGUGAAUUGCAGAAUCCCGUGAACCAUCGAGUCUUUGAACGCAAGUUGCGCCCGAAGCCGUCAGGCCGAGGGCACGCCUGCCUGGGCGUCACACGCCGUUGCCCCCCCCGCGCCCCGCACCCAACUCUUUGGGAGCGACCGCGGGGCGGGCUGAUGAUGGCCUCCCGUGCGCUCCGCCGCGCGGUUGGCCCAAAUACCGAGUCCCCGGCGACGUGCGCCACGACGUUCGGUGGUUGAGAGACCUCUGUCGCAAGUCGUGCGCGCCCGUCGCGUCACGCGGGCUCGCAUAGCGCCUCGCGCCGCACCCGGUGCGGAGCUUUCAACGCGACCCCAGGUCAGGCGGGGUUACCCGCUGAAUUUAAGCAUAUCAAUAAGCGGAGGA